rnacentral:rRNA from 2 species
AUGCCUUACACAUGCAAGUCGAACGGCAGCAUGAUCUAGCUUGCUAGAUUGAUGGCGAGUGGCGAACGGGUGAGUAAUACAUCGGAACGUGCCCUGUAGUGGGGGAUAACUAGUCGAAAGAUUAGCUAAUACCGCAUACGACCUGAGGGUGAAAGUGGGGGACCGCAAGGCCUCAUGCUAUAGGAGCGGCCGAUGUCUGAUUAGCUAGUUGGUGGGGUAAAGGCCCACCAAGGCGACGAUCAGUAGCUGGUCUGAGAGGACGAUCAGCCACACUGGGACUGAGACACGGCCCAG